rnacentral:rRNA from 1 species
UGGGGAAUAUUGCACAAUGGGCGCAAGCCUGAUGCAGCGACGCCGCGUGAGGGAUGACGGCCUUCGGGUUGUAAACCUCUUUCAGUACCGACGAAGCGCAAGUGACGGUAGGUACAGAAGAAGCACCGGCCAACUACGUGCCAGCAGCCGCGGUAAUAAUCACUAGUGAAUUCGCGG